UUCCCGAUUUUUCCCCAGAAUUCCCGAUUUUUCCCCAACAUUCCCACUUUUUCUCCCCCAGGCCAUCUGGCUGCUGUGCACGGGCGCUCGCGAGGCUGCGUUCCGCAACAUCAAAACCAUCGCCGAGUGCUUGGCCGACGAGCUCAUCAACGCCGCCAAGGGCUCCUCCAACUCUUACGCCAUCAAGAAGAAAGACGAGCUGGAGCGCGUGGCCAAAUCCAACCGCUGAAUUCCCAAAAAAACCCGGAAUUCCCGGAAUUCCCGGAAUUCCCCAAUAAAAACGUCCCAGGAAUCGGA